UGUGGAAUAUUGGUCAAUGGGGGCAACCCUGAACCAGCCAAGUCGCGUGAAGGAUGAAGGUCUUAUGGAUUGUAAACUUCUUUUAUACAGGAAUAAAUUGGGGGACGUGUCCCCUUUUGCAUGUACUGUAUGAAUAAGGAUCGGCUAACUCCGUGCCAGCAGCCGCGGUAAUACGGAGGAUCCGAGCGUUAUCCGGAUUUAUUGGGUUUAAAGGGUGCGCAGGCGGGAUGUUAAGUCGGCGGUGAAAUUUUGCAGCUCAACUGUAAAAGUGCCUUCGAUACUGGCUUCCUUGAGUGUAGAUGAAGUAGGCGGAAUUUGUGGUGUAGCGGUGAAAUGCUUAGAUAUCACGAGGAACUCCGAUUGCGCAGGCAGCUUACUAAGCCACAACUGACGCUCAUGCACGAAGGCGUGGGGAUCAAACA
rnacentral:rRNA from 1 species